UAUAAAUACAUGCACACAUAUU
rnacentral:piRNA from 1 species